ACCUGAGAUGGCUCAGUUGGUAGAGCCUGAGACUCAUAAUCUCAGGGUUGUGGAUUUGAGCUCCAUGUUGGGCA